rnacentral:rRNA from 1 species
UACGGAGGAUGCAAGCGUUAUCCGGAAUGAUUGGGCGUAAAGGGUCCGCAAGUGGCAGUGUAAGUCUGCUGUCAAAGAAUGAGGCUUAACCUCAUCAAGGCAGUGGAAACUACACAGCUAGAGUACGGUCGGGGUAGAAGGAAUUCCUGGUGUAGCGGUGAAAUGCGUAGAGAUCAGGAAGAACACCGGUGGCGAAAGCGUUCUGCUAGACCUGUACUGACACUGAGGGACGAAAGCUAGGGGAGCGAAUGGG